GUUUUGGCUUUAAUCUCUGCAACGUGUUCAUGUUGUGUUCGUCACCGCCUUUCUCGCCCGAUAUAUAUCUUCCACCGUCAUUGCUAGCAGUUACGGGAAAAUGAUUCUCAUUGGAAUCAUCUCUUAGGUACAAUGUCUUAACAAAAUCGACCAUAAAAUCGAUCCCAAAGUUCCUCUUCACAAAACCGACCAAAAAAUUGAUCCCAAAGUUCCUCAGUACGUGUUUCACUAUCUUUCGUCCAUCAUUCCGUCAUCUUUCUCCUCCUCUCGAUUUUAUUUGUUGCCAAUUUCAUAUCGAAGAGAGCGUCGGAAGAAGACCGACUCAAAGAAACCCACUUCAAUCGCGAUUUCCCUCACUGACACCUUUACUCGCACCCGUCGCUUCAAUCGCCGAAUUACAGGUAUCAAAGAUUUUGAAGGGGCUUGACAGCCGGCUUCCAUCGAUAAGUGCUUAUUCCCUAUCUUCUAUUCCACACUUCUCUAUCGAUUUACCAAAGGUCGAUCAUCUAUUUGGACUUUCAUUAUCUGCCCUAUAAUUUGUUUUCUGUUUUUUAAUGAUUUAGUUUUGGAAGGAGCCUUUUUUUUGGAAUUCUGACUUAUUGAGUUGUGGCUAGGUUUACUGGGUGGGUUUCAUUUUUCGUUAUUUAGGUAACAAUUUUUGUAAAAGUUUGUUAUGGAGGUUUACAUAUUCUUACAAUUAUCAAUUUUUGGUUCUAGAUUUUGAAACUGAAAUUCCAAGACUUAUGUAGAGGGGGCAUAAGGUAUGUAGUGAAAAUGUUGUAUUUUGCAUUUUUGCUUGACUUUUUGUCAUCAGGGUUAGAGGACAUUUUAAGGUGUAUGGAUGGAGUGGUGGUUGAUGAGGAGUGAUAGGGUGACAAAGAUGCUGCGGUUUAUACAAUUUUACAGGGUUUAGGGAUUAUAGAGCUCACUUAGAAGGAAAAACAAGUGAUAAGAACGAUUCAGAAUGUGAUAGGGAUAAUUAAAGGACUGGAGGAACCUGAUAGGUCGCAGAAAGGUUCCAAAAGCUAUAGAAAGAAGGUUCCAGAAGCAAUCCUCGGUAUUCCAGCCUUUUUCAGUGAUAAAGGGUAAUUUUGGAAUACAAGAUUCAUUGACGGAUUCCAUUCCGGAUUCCAAACGAAAAAAUACUUCAGUCUACCAAAUAAGAUGGAAAACCAGAUUGAGUCUGCUAUUUUCAUAUUCACUUCAUGGAACACCUGUAGAUCUAAAGACAACUUCAAGUGGAACAAGCUGAUGGUAUGAUUGCAUGCUUCCGGGGAAUAGUGGAGAUAGUUAGCAUGCUUAUUGGAUCAGAGGAGUAGUCGUAUUUCUUCAAUAUAUACAAAAACCAAAAUCUUACUUAUUAUAUAAUCAGAUUGUAAUUAUCCAAUUAUUUAGCUUUCAAAUAACCAAUUUUGGAUGAUAAUUUUCACACAAGCUGCAACACAAAUGAUAAAUUUUCACCCAUCAGUUUAGCAUUAAUAAUCAUAUUAUAUUUAUAA